rnacentral:rRNA from 1 species
AGAUAGCUGGUUCUCUCCGAAAUAGCUUUAGGGCUAGCCUCAAGUGAUGAUUAUUGGAGGUAGAGCACUGUUUGGACGAGGGGCCCCUCUCGGGUUACCGAAUUCAGACAAACUCCGAAUGCCAAUUAAUUUAACUUGGGAGUCAGAACAUGGGUGAUAAGGUCCGUGUUCGAAAGGGAAACAGCCCAGACCACCAGCUAAGGUCCCAAAAUAUAUGUUAAGUGGAAAAGGAUGUGGCGUUGCCCAGACAACUAGGAUGUUGGCUUAGAAGCAGCCAUCAUUUAAAGAGUGCGUAAUAGCUCACUAGUCGAGUGACACUGCGCCGAAAAUGUACCGGGGCUAAACAUAUUACCGAAGCUGUGGAUUGUCCUUUGGACAAUGGUAGGAGAGCGUUCUAAGGGCGUUGAAGCAUGAUCGUAAGGACAUGUGGAGCGCUUAGAAGUGAGAAUGCCGGUGUGAGUAGCGAAAGACGGGUGAGAAUCCCGUCCACCGAUUGACUAAGGUUUCCAGAGGAAGGCUCGUCCGCUCUGGGUUAGUCGGGUCCUAAGCUGAGGCCGACAGGCGUAGGCGAUGGAUAACAGGUUGAUAUUCCUGUACCACCUAUAAUCGUUUUAAUCGAUGGGGGGACGCAGUAGGAUAGGCGAAGCGUGCGAUUGGAUUGCACGUCUAAGCAGUAAGGCUGAGUAUUAGGCAAAUCCGGUACUCGUUAAGGCUGAGCUGUGAUGGGGAGAAGACAUUGUGUCUUCGAGUCGUUGAUUUCACACUGCCGAGAAAAGCCUCUAGAUAGAAAAUAGGUGCCCGUACCGCAAACCGACACAGGUAGUCAAGAUGAGAAUUCUAAGGUGAGCGAGCGAACUCUCGUUAAGGAACUCGGCAAAAUGACUCCGUAACUUCGGGAGAAGGGGUGCUCUUUAGGGUUAACGCCCAGAAGAGCCGCAGUGAAUAGGCCCAAGCGACUGUUUAUCAAAAACACAGGUCUCUGCUAAACCGUAAGGUGAUGUAUAGGGGCUGACGCCUGCCCGGUGCUGGAAGGUUAAGAGGAGUGGUUAGCUUCUGCGAAGCUACGAAUCGAAGCCCCAGUAAACGGCGGCCGUAACUAUAACGGUCCUAAGGUAGCGAAAUUCCUUGUCGGGUAAGUUCCGACCCGCACGAAAGGCGUAACGAUUUGGGCACUGUCUCAACGAGAGACUCGGUGAAAUCAUAGUACCUGUGAAGAUGCAGGUUACCCGCGACAGGACGGAAAGACCCCGUGGAGCUUUACUGUAGCCUGAUAUUGAAAUUCGGCACAGCUUGUACAGGAUAGGUAGGAGCCUUUGAAACGUGAGCGCUAGCUUACGUGGAGGCGCUGGUGGGAUACUACCCUAGCUGUGUUGGCUUUCUAACCCGCACCACUUAUCGUGGUGGGAGACAGUGUCAGGCGGGCAGUUUGACUGGGGCGGUCGCCUCCUAAAAGGUAACGGAGGCGCUCAAAGGUUCCCUCAGAAUGGUUGGAAAUCAUUCAUAGAGUGUAAAGGCAUAAGGGAGCUUGACUGCGAGACCUACAAGUCGAGCAGGGUCGAAAGACGGACUUAGUGAUCCGGUGGUUCCGCAUGGAAGGGCCAUCGCUCAACGGAUAAAAGCUACCCCGGGGAUAACAGGCUUAUCUCCCCCAAGAGUUCACAUCGACGGGGAGGUUUGGCACCUCGAUGUCGGCUCAUCGCAUCCUGGGGCUGUAGUCGGUCCCAAGGGUUGGGCUGUUCGCCCAUUAAAGCGGUACGCGAGCUGGGUUCAGAACGUCGUGAGACAGUUCGGUCCCUAUCCGUCGUGGGCGUAGGAAAUUUGAGAGGAGCUGUCCUUAGUACGAGAGGACCGGGAUGGACAUACCUCUGGUGUACCAGUUGUCGUGCCAACGGCAUAGCUGGGUAGCUAUGUGUGGACGGGAUAAGUGCUGAAAGCAUCUAAGCAUGAAGCCCCCCUCAAGAUGAGAUUUCCCAACUUCGGUUAUAAGAUCCCUCAAAGAUGAUGAGGUUAAUAGGUUCGAGGUGGAAGCAUGGUGACAUGUGGAGCUGACGAAUACUAAUCGAUCGAAGACUUAAUCAA